GCGCGGAGGUAGACUAAUUACGUUGGCGGCGACCGGCGAAACGGGUGCGGAACACGUACGCAACCUUCCUCAAGGAGGACGGGGAAUACGCCUCUACGAAAGAGAGUAUUAACUACCCAUAGUAUCUCGGAUUCACAUGGAUCUGAGAUUAAAGCUCCGGCACUUUGAGAUGGGCGUGCGGCUGAUUAGGUAGUUGGUAGGGUAACGGCCUACCAAGCCAACGAUCAGUAGCUGAUGUGAGAGCACGAUCAGCCACACGGGCACUGAGACACGGGCCCGACUCCUACGGGAGGCAGCAGUGAGGAAUAUUGGUCAAUGGAGGCAACUCUGAACCAGCCAUGCCGCGUGAAGGAUGAAGGUCCUCUGGAUUGUAAACUUCUUUUAUAGAAGAAGAAACCCCAUUUUUCUAAGUGGGUUGACGGUACUCUAUGAAUAAGCACCGGCUAACUCCGUG
rnacentral:rRNA from 1 species